rnacentral:rRNA from 1 species
UACACUCCUACGGGAGGCAGCAGUGGGGAAUAUUGCACAAUGGGCGCAAGCCUGAUGCAGCCAUGCCGCGUGUAUGAAGAAGGCCUUCGGGUUGUAAAGUACUUUCAGCGGGGAGGAAGGCGAUAAGGUUAAUAACCUUGUCGAUUGACGUUACCCGCAGAAGAAGCACCGGCUAACUCCGUGCCAGCAGCCGCGGUAAUACGGAGGGUGCAAGCGUUAAUCGGAAUUACUGGGCGUAAAGCGCACGCAGGCGGUCUGUCAAGUCGGAUGUGAAAUCCCCGGGCUCAACCUGGGAACUGCAUUCGAAACUGGCAGGCUAGAGUCUUGUAGAGGGGGGUAGAAUUCCAGGUGUAGCGGUGAAAUGCGUAGAGAUCUGGAGGAAUACCGGUGGCGAAGGCGGCCCCCUGGACAAAGACUGACGCUCAGGUGCGAAAGCGUGGGGAGCAAACAGGAUUAGAAACCCUGGUAGUCCCAUG